UCUGUAGACCCGCGAGCGCGAAAAGCACGCUCGGAAGCGAACGAACCUAACGCUCUACUACGCCUAGAGACAGUCGCGAGACACAGUUCGUCAUCGUACAGGAGGGAAAACAAUAUGCAUGACGUUCUCGCAAGCUAUUCGUCAGCUAUUCUGCAAGCUGUUCUUUCAUUUCUUGUCUUCUGUUUCUUUUUUUUUUCUUCGUCUCGUUACGAGGAGCCUUCCGCGCGAGAAAGUCGAAAGUAGAGGAGAACGUAGAGAAAGGAUACAAGUUGAGAGGAGUCCGAAAGAACUAUGCGAACAUCACAGACGAAAGAAUCUACGGACGGUGUGUGAAGUGCGCUUUUGGUACACGGCGAAUUUGCGGUAAGCAAAUUAGCAGCUCAGCAUGUUUUAACAUUCGUCCAUAGAUCUUUCGUCCGCGAACAUGAAAUUACUUCGCGGCUGUGCACGUUCGCGUGAGUUCUAUCGGCUGAUUGGCGAUAAUGGGUGUCGUACAGAAAGAGAUAGACAGAGUGUUAGAGAAAGAGAGAGAGAAAGAGAGAGAGACAGAGAGAGAUAUGGUUGAUGAUGGUGGCGGCUGCUGCGGUGGUUUUCUUUUUCAUAGCUGGCAGUGGUGCAGUUAAAUGCAGUGCUGUGAGGUGCAGGCACACGCGCAUAUAAGUAGUGCAGUAGUAGUAGUAGUAGUAGUGAUGACAGUAGUAGGUAGUAGUAGUAGAUAAGGUAGUCCAUUACAGGCGGACACAGGUUAAUGGUAAAAUAGUUACCCGGGCCUUGGCGCUGCCUGAGUGAUCUCCGCUCGCGGAGGAGGAAGGACUCACCCGGUUUCCACCGAGGUUGCUCACCACGCAGGUGAAGUCUGUUUCAGGGGAAAUUGAGUCUGGACGAGGUUCGCGAUGGCGCGCGCCUUAGGAAUUAGUUUAUUACUGGACAAACACCGUGGCUCGAGAUCCCCGAACACCUGUAACGGCAGGUGAUGGCGCGCCCGUCUGGGACUGACAGACGCUCCCUGGACUCCUUAAUGCGUUUAACGUUCCCUGAGGCUACGUCUAGGGGACGGUCAUUUCACUCGAAGGAUAAGGAUCAAGCAAGGAAUAACGAGGAGGAUGAUUGGUUCGAGUACGAGAGGAUUUUUAAUGUUGGAACCAGUGGGAACACUUAGAGUCUUAGUUAUUGGUGCAAUAAUAGGGGUUGUUAUUGAAUUUACAAGCAAUCAAAGUCUUGCUGAAAUAACUGUUGAUGAAAGGAGUUGUACUCCGCGUAUCGAUUACGAAUUUUAAUAAAAAUUACGAGAAACGAUAGAUCAGCCCAGUUCGCGGAUGUUAAACAACCAAAUAUGAUAUCAGUGUACAAUAUUUAAUGUUCACGUUCUAGGUAUGCACCGCAGUAUGAUAAUCACGUGGAAAAUAUUUCUGUUCGUGUAUUUCCCACAGUACGUAAGCAUGCUUUCGUUCCAGAUAACUCCGACCCCCUACCGGGUUCCUCUAUUAAAGUCUGUUUCAUUCCAUUGAAAAGCUUGAAGCACCGCUGCUUACUAUUCAAUUCUAUUUUUCCUCUCGUGCAUAAACCGCGGAGUUCUGCCUGAUAAACGCGAUCUCAUAAAGUAAAGUGCCAUUCGAUGUGAUAAACGCGAGUUAUCUCGUUUCGAACUGUGCCAGUGCGGUAUGUAAGUCGCAUCUAAGAAAUGAGAGUAUCAUUGGAAAGCGAAAUAUAAUCGAACGAUACCGUACAAAAAGUAUCAAACUGAAAAAGAAAAAGAAAAACCAUUUUUAUUUAGUUCAAGCUGCCGGACAAUUUAUUAGGGACAAAGGAGAUGUCGCCCAAAUAGACGCGACAAAACUUUCCCACAGAGCUGAUAGUAAUUAACUAUGCGCGUAAAGGGCCCCCAAGAAAGUCUAAUUUUCAGGGACAGUGGACUUCUUAAAAGAAUGUUAUCAGCAAAGCAAGCAUCGUUGAAAAGCUUUACUACCGCAAACCCCAGUUGCUUUAUCUACGUUGAUACAGGGUUGCACAGAUAUGCGACGUUUAUUACAUGUAAGAUAUAAUUAUUCUUGUAACAACUCGUGUAUAGUUUCACGAUUGAAAAACUGAAUAAUGCUGCACCACGCUAAAAGACCCAAAACAUCAGGAAAUUUAAAGGACGUAAGGGAUUAAAAACUGAAUUCCUGGGGCGGAACGUCCCUUGCAAAAAAGCACCAGAGAUAACAUUACUCCAAGUCGUAGAGCAGUAAGAUAACCGCGCACAUAACUAAUGUUCAGGGUUAUGGAUUAAAGUAUUCGCCACGAUAAUCGUUGGUUUUCGCUUUUUCCCUUGACCGAGAGAUACGAGGAAUACUUUGGUGAAAUUUUGGUUUCCUCAAACACUAUACUACUCGAAAGCAACGUUUUAAAUAUUUAUCGACACGUGGUUCACUCCUAUCGCAUCAUAGUAUACUAAUUCAAGAAUUAAUAAAUUUAUGUUCUCUGUUAAUUUUCAACGAAGUAGCAGUUGACGUGUCGCGUGGACCACCGUGUAUAUGAAGUUAAUGGGAGCGAACGAUCGGUGUAAUUCGCGAUAAAAGAAACUGCAAUCAAUGUUCAAACAAACGCGUAUUUUCCGGCUAAAUUAAAUCACUUGCAUUUUAACCGAGUGUGUAAUUUAGUUGGCGAAAAUCCCGCGAAUAAUUUACUUUCCACUCGUUCGUUGAGCAACUGCUUUUCGAAAUUACUCACAGGAAAAACGUGAUUUCCAAUCAAUGGAAAUAUACUCGCGGCGCGUCGUAAUUGUUAAUGAACGAGCCCGCACAUAAUGCAACGCCAAUACUUCUGAUUAAUCGCUGAUAAAAUUAUGUACAGCGGAUAUAUUCUGCCAGGAAUGCUCGAUGAAUUACGUCGGCAAGCGUUUUGAAUUUGAAAAUGAACUUUCAUUAUUCAAUCACAUGGAACCAGAAGGAUUUCGUAAAUUAUACGGUAUCCAAACUAUUCGGAAGAAUGGGGUUUCGUCGGUUGAAAGAGAAGAUGUGACGUAGAACAAAUUCGUCUGUGUGGACAAUUGUCUGUCGUGUCUAGAUAGCAGUAUUUCGCGAAAUCGAAUAUUCCCUGGCGUUAUAUAUUGAACCACGUGUCCCACGGUAUACACAAUCGCAACGAAUCAAGUUAAAUUAUCUAAAUCGUGUGUAAAUCGGAUGCACGAUGAAAUUGGUCGAUAAAUUGUUUAAUCAAGUAGAAGCGAUAAAUUGAUUUGCUGCAAAGUUGAAUGCAGCAUGGUAUUUUCAAACAUAUUGUGGAUAAAUCAAUUACGUGGUAGAAAUUACAGGUCGCAUGCCAGCAUUUGCAUUUGGUGCAACAGUAUAUUGGCGAUUGUAAAAUCGGAUAUUUCAGAUUUCUGAACAAAUAUAAUAUUGUUUCAAAGUUUGGUGCGUACUAUAGUUUUGAAAUUAAAUGGACUUCUUCUCGUGCACGAACAAAUGUUUCAUUGAAAUUCUUAACCCUGUGUAUCAGAGUUGAUACACAACUCUGAAACUGCUAACCGAAACGACAGUUAUGUCAUCGAACAUAUAUCACGAACGACCAGCGAAAUAAAGGCGCGUUCAAUAAAAUACUCGGCCACUCGGUGCUACGAAAAGAAACUGAUUCGUCGAG